rnacentral:rRNA from 1 species
AUUGAACGCUGGCGGCAGGCUUAACACAUGCAAGUCGAGCGAGCGGCGGACGGGUGAGGAAUGUCUGGGAAACUGCCUGAUGGAGGGGGAUCACUACUGGAAACGGUAUCUAAUACCGUAUACCACCAAGUGUCCCCAUAUGGGAUUAGCUAGUAGGUGGGGUAAUGGCUCACCUAGGCGACGACCCCUAGCUGGUCUGAGAGGAUGACCAGCCAAACGGGAACUGAGACACGGUCCAGACUCCUACGGGAGGCAGCAGUGGGGAAUAUGGCACAAUGGGCGCAAGCCUGAUGCAGCCAUGCCGCGUGUAUGAAGAAGGCCUUCGGGUUGUAAAGUACUUUCAGCGGGGAGGCGUUACCCGCAGAAGAAGCACCGGCUAACUCCGUGCCAGCAGCCGCGGUAAUUC